AUGGAGGAGUUGGGAUUGAAAGAAGGCGAUCUCCAGGACGUAGUGAUUGAGGACGAAGAGCUUCUGGAGGAGGCGACUCGCUGGAUGGCGAUAGCUAGGGUUCACACGGACCGUACCUACAACCAGUACUGGUUUUUCAGAAACAUGAGGGCGGCCUGGGAUCUGGCCAAGGGAGUGCAAAUCAGGCCUCUUGAGGACAACCUGUAUACUUUGCAGUUUGCAUGCUUGGGCGAUUGGGAACGUGUGAUGCAGGAUGGGCCGUGA
rnacentral:rRNA from 1 species